AGUGAUCAUAGUUUCCAUUGCGAGAAAUAAAGGUUGGAAUCAAACCCAGGCUGCAAUGGAAAAACUAGGAAAACCAAAAGCUAAUCGCUUGGUGUUUUUGACGUCCCCAUUUCAGGGCCACAUAAACCCAAUGCUACAACUAGCCACAAUCCUGCACUCAAAAGGCUUCUCCAUCACCAUCGUGCAUCCCCAGUUCAACUCUCCUAAUCCUUCAAAUCAUCCUCAAUUCACCUUCAAACCCAUAACCGAUAACUUAUCCGAAAGCAAAGUCCUGCAAGGAGAUAUCUUGGGUACCGUUAAGGCUCUUAACAAGAAUUGUCAAGUGCCCUUUGAGCUAUACAUGAAGCAAAUGACAGAGAAAGAGGAUUCAGAUGAUCGGAUUUCAUGUAUUGUUUAUGAUGGGCUUAUGUACUUUGCUCAUACUGUUGCUAAUAAUCUGAAGCUGCCGGGGAUUAUUGUUCGGACUAGUGCUGCUGCUGGCAUAUUCAAUUUUACCGUGUUUCCUCAUCCACACCAACAAGGCUAUAUUUCUCUUCUAGAUUCCAUGGCUGAAGAAU
rnacentral:misc_RNA from 1 species